AUUAAAAAAAAUAAAACAAAACCCUCCUCUCUUCUUCCUCACACGUACCAACCCAAAAAGAAAUAGAAAUUCACCAUCUUCCUUAAGCCAUUUGAAUCAACUAUGCCCUCACCAUCACUGUUUCAAGUAAGACCAAACCCACUUAAUUUCCUCUUCUUUUCGACUUUCAUUCUCUGAAAUUAAGGAUUGAAAACACUUCCUCCUCCUAACAUCCAAAAUUAGGGCAAUCAAGUUCUCACAUGAUUCAUGGCAAGCUCUCCUCUCAUAACGCCAUUUUCGAAUAAGCUUAGGCACUCCAUGAAUGUUCUUUUCUCCUUGAUUGAUUAUUGGUGUAAACAAAAUUAAGGAUUUUUUUUCCAUUGUAAUAGAAAUCAGCAAAGGAGCAGCCGGAACCCUUCCCAAACCCCUGUUCUGCCGAAAUAGGGGAAAACAACUGAAAAUUUUGUUCUGUGCGUUUAAGCAUCGAAAUCCAAGUCAAACAUCAAUUGUCGAAAUCUGUUUUUUGGUAACUUCUUUGCUGCCGUCAAUCAGAAGAUUGUUUACAGAUCAAAACCAGACGGGAAUGAUGGGGAAGCAGAGGUGAUUAGAGUAUAUGGUGAAGAUACUUUAGAUUUGAGUAUGUACACUAGUCGUAGUGUCUGUGUUGGGCUGUAGUCAAUAUGUAGUGGAUUUAAUUAUGUUAACCGUAUCGGACUUUAUGGUUAGUUGUAUAAAUAUGUUGGACUAUGGUUUAGAUGUUUUGAUUUAAAAUAGUCAUUACAGUUGUAUUUUAGACCUCGUGACCCUUUAUAUGAGUUAUGAAUCGAGAUUUGAGUUCUUUGGGUUAGUAAACCCCUUGAUGACCUGUCUUGUUUAGUCAACCACUAAGUCGGGUUGUUACAGUAUUUCUAGAGAUUGGAUGCCUAAGACUAGACACCCACAGAGAUCUAAAAAGGGGGAAACAAAAAACUUUUGGUGAUACAUGAUCUCAAACCAGCCGAUUCGAAAGUUAACCUAUGACCUACUAGGCUAGUGAAAUCAGGCGCUGCAGGGUUUAAUCCAAUAAAAAUUUGCUCGGAUCCUUCAUAAUUGAAUUUGAAGCAACAUUUUUAGCACACUUUUUGAAACUUAUUCUAAGUAGGGGAAUGGAUGGGAAAGGUAUCUAAACCAGCUAAAAGCUGAAAAUUUACCAUACAUUUUUGAAACUUAAUCCAAGUACUGAAUCAGAUAAACAAAAGGUAAUCUUCUAUUUAUCGUAAAUAUUUAAGGAUAGUAAAUAAAAAUGAAAAUAUGAAAACAAAGUUAGUUAGAUAGAAGUAGAGCUGUUCAAAUGUGAUCCGACCCGAAAAUCCAAAUCGAAAUCGAAAGUUAAUCGACCGAAAAAUAUGUUUCUUUUUUAGGUUUAUGGAACCGACGUUAUUCGAACCGAAGUUGCGCACGAAUCAAUUUACGACCGAAAAUCGUAAAAUCAAACCCGAACUGUGACCAAUUUUUAUAACCGUUAACCAAGAUUACCCGAACCUAAUAGUGAUCGACUCGAGUCAUACCCGACCCGUAUCAUGCUCAAAAACCAAACUUGAUCCAGUUAAAACCGACUUAACCCGAACGGAUAUUUAAUCGAAAUGCCGUAAAUCUGAACCAAUUUUUAACAUAGAGGAAUG